UACGUAGGGUGCAAGCGUUGUCCGGAAUUAUUGGGCGUAAAGAGCGUGUAGGCGGCCCGAUUAGUCCGCUGUGAAAGUCCAGGGCUCAACCCUGGAAUGCCGGUGGAAACUGUCGGGCUUGAGUACGGAAGAGGCGAGUGGAAUUCCUGGUGUAGCGGUGAAAUGCGCAGAUAUCAGGAGGAACACCAAUUGCGAAGGCAGCUCGCUGGGACGUUACUGACGCUGAGGCGCGAAAGCCAGGGGAGCAAACGGG
rnacentral:rRNA from 1 species